UGAACGCUAGCUACAGGCUUAACACAUGCAAGUCGUGGGGCAGCGGAUGCUUAGCUUGCUAAGUAUGCCGGCGACCGGCGGCACGGGUGAGUAACGCGUACCGAACCUGCCCAUCACACAGGGAUAGGCUUGCGAAAGCAAGAUUAAUACCUGAUGGUCUCAGUUGUAUGCAUGUAUAAUUGAGUAAAGCCUUCGGGCGGUGAUGGAUGGCGGUGCGUCCCAUUAGGAAGUUGGCGGGGUAACGGCCCACCAAUCCUUCGAUGGGUAGGGGUUCUGAGAGGAAGGUCCCCCACAUUGGAACUGAGAUACGGUCCAAACUCCUACGGGAGGCAGCAGUGAGGAAUAUUGGUCAAUGGGCGAGAGCCUGAACCAGCCAAGUAGCGUGCGGGAUGAAGGCCCUUGUGGUCGUAAACCGCUUUUAUCAGUGAAUAAAGUGCACCACGUGUGGUGUCAUUGCAGGUAGCUGAAGAAAAAGGACCGGCUAAUUCCGUG
rnacentral:rRNA from 1 species